UACAGGGGGUGCAAACGUUGCUCGGAAUCAUUGGGCGUAAAGAGCUCGUAGGCGGUUCGGGCAAGUCGGAUGUGAAAUCUCCACGCUUAACGUGGGGGGGGCCAUUCGAAACUGCUGUGACUCGAGUCCGGUAGGGGAGUGUGGAAUUCCCGGUGUAGCGGUGAAAUGCGCAGAUAUCAGGAGGAACACCGGUGGCGAAGGCGGGUCUCUGGGCAGUAACUGACGCUGAGGAGCGAAAGCGUGGGGGAGCGAACAGG
rnacentral:rRNA from 1 species